UACGUAGGGUCCGAGCGUUGUCCGGAAUUAUUGGGCGUAAAGGGCUCGUAGGCGGUCUGUCGCGUCGGGAGUGAAAACCUCGAGGGCUUAACCCUGAGGCCUGCUUCCGAUACGGGCAGACUAGAGGUAUGCAGGGGAGAACGGAAUUCCUGGUGUAGCGGUGAAAUGCGCAGAUAUCAGGAGGAACACCGGUGGCGAAGGCGGUUCUCUGGGCAUUACCUGACGCUGAGGAGCGAAAGUGUGGGGAGCGAACAGG
rnacentral:rRNA from 1 species